CAGGGAGACAACAAAAUGUUAAAUAUUAAUUUUGUCACCUUAGGUCGAUCGGUAUCUCAGGUUCUUAAUUACUUUAAGAAUUUCAUUUCCUAAGUUUUUUCUAGGUCACACCCAUUACUUUCCCUGGGCCAUUAGCUCAGGUGGUUAGGGCGCACCCCUGAUAAGGGUGAGGUCCCUGGUUCAAGUCCAGGAUGGCCCAUAUCUCUAUGUUGGGGGUAUAGCUCAGUUGGUAGAGCGCCUGCUUUGCAAGCAGGAUGUCAGCGGUUCGAGUCCGCUUACCUCCACUGAUUACCACCUCUUCCAUAAAUUUAAAGAAGGGAAUAGUUAUGAGCGUUGAUUUACAUCUGAACGAAUCUAGCUUCCUAAUAAAUACAUUAAGAUGCUGGACUCAUUGAAUUUUAUUCAUUGUUUUCAGAGAACCUUGACAACUGCAUAGAUUAUUUUUAAAGACAAUAAGCAUCUUUAAUGAUGCAGAUUUAUUAUUUUUGCUAAUGCAUUAAUAACAAUUCUAUUGAGCUGAUGCUUCAAUUUUUUGAAGUUAUU
rnacentral:tRNA from 1 species